AGAGUUUGAUCCUGGCUCAGGAUGAACGCUGGCGGCGUGCCUAAUACAUGCAAGUCGAACGCUGGAAAUCUAGCUUGCUAGAUUGAAGGAGUGGCGAACGGGUGAGUAAUACAUAAGCAACCUACCCACGAAGACUGGGAUAAUCUCUGGAAACGGGGACUAAUACCGGAUAGGUAAUCGGAAGGCAUCUUCUGAUUAUUAAAGGUUAAAAACACUGGUGGAUGGGCUUAUGGCGCAUUAGUUAGUUGGUGAGGUAACGGCCCACCAAGACGAUGAUGCGUAGCCGGCCUGAGAGGGUGAACGGCCACAUUGGGACUGAGACACGGCCCAGACUCCUACGGGAGGCAGCAGUAGGGAAUUUUCGGCAAUGGGGGAAACCCUGACCGAGCAACGCCGCGUGAGUGAUGACGGCCUUCGGGUUGUAAAGCUCUGUUGUAAGGGAAGAACGGUAGAUAGAGAAUAUCUAAAUGACGGUACCUUACCAGAAAGCCACGGCUAACUACGUGCCAGCAGCCGCGGUAAUACGUAGGUGGCGAGCGUUAUCCGGAAUUAUUGGGCGUAAAGGGUGCGUAGGCGGCCUGUUAAGUAAGUGGUUAAAUUGUUGGGCUCAACCCAAUCCAGCCACUUAAACUGGCAGGCUAGAGUAUUGGAGAGGCAAGUGGAAUUCCAUGUGUAGCGGUAAAAUGCGUAGAUAUAUGGAGGAACACCAGUGGCGAAGGCGGCUUGCUAGCCAAAGACUGACGCUCAUGCACGAAAGCGUGGGGAGCAAAUAGGAUUAGAUACCCUAGUAGUCCACGCCGUAAACGAUGAAUACUAAGUAUUGGGGAAACUCAGUGCUGCAGCUAACGCAAUAAGUAUUCCGCCUGUGGAGUAUGCACGCAAGUGUGAAACAUAAAGGAAUUGACGGGGGCCCGCACAAGCGGUGGAGUAUGUGGUUUAAUUCGACGCAACGCGAAGAACCUUACCAGGCCUUGACAUCCCUUGCAAAGCUGUAGAGAUACAGUAGAGGUUAUCAAGGAGACAGGUGGUGCAUGGUUGUCGUCAGCUCGUGUCGUGAGAUGUUGGGUUAAGU
rnacentral:rRNA from 1 species